CCUAAUAUCAACUCUCACUCUUGUAUGAUAGUUAACGGUAGAGGAGAUCAUUCCGAGAUCGAUGUUAUGAGUCAAGGUGGUGGUGAUUUGAACAUGGUUGAUGUAGAAAAUGGAGUUAGAGAAUCAAACUAUUUGGUGUUCCAUCCCCCUGCUACAGAUCAAUCUAGGAGUGCAGCAAAUCAGGCUCCCAAGCAACCGCUUAUAGCAUUAUCAUCAGAUGAGGAUGACGAGGAUGAUUUCCGUCCUAUAAGCGAAACUUUGGGUCUAUCAUCGAAAUCACGAAAGGAAGAUAACAAUCAAGACGUUCUUCUCAUUGACGGUUCAGAAGAACCUUUGGUUAGUAAAGCUUCCAAAUCUGUGUCCAAGACUAAGAAGGCUCGAGCGGAAGUGGAAACUCAAGUCCUAGAAGAAGGUAAGUCAGACCACUAGAUAAUGUUUCUAAAUUACAGGAUUUAUAAUCAGAUAGUAAGUCUCAGAAACCUUAUUAUUAAUUCAUGCGGCCGGAGAGAAGAGUCAAGGGGCAGAUGUUGACAAAAACUUAGAAGAUUAAAAAGUUAAAAAGUCUCCCAAAUCGAAGUCUCCAAAAAAGAAACUGAAAGUAGAGACUCAAAGCCAUAAAGAAGAGACUGAUAUUGAAGAGGAAGCUGUGAAGGCAGAAGUAACUGAGAAGAGUGCAAUACCUCAUGGCUCUUCAAGAUUGCCUUUGAUGAUGGCAGAGAAAGUCCAGCGGUCAAAGGCACUUGUUGAAUGUGAAGGAGACUCCAUAGAUAUGAGUGGAGAUAUUGGUACUGUUGGACGAUUAGUAAUUUCAGACACGCCAUGUGGUAGCAGUGAACUGCUUUUGGAUUUAAAAGGAACCAUAUACAAAACAACAAUAGUUCCAUCGAGAACAUUUUGUGUUGUCAACUUUGGUCAAACGGAAGCAAAGAUAGAAGCUAUCAUGGAUGACUUCAUUCAACUGAAACCACACUCCAAUGUUUAUGAGUCGGAGACAACGAUUGAAGGGACACUAGAGGGAUACUCAUUUGAUUCUGACGAAGAGGCAGAUAAAAUUCCAAAGCCUAAAAUACAAGGAGAAGACGGUGAAGAACAAGCCAAUGGAAAGGUCAAGGGAAAAGCUGAUAAAGCAUUGGGCGUCAAAAAGAAGGGCAAAAUAACCGCUAAGCCACCAGCUAAGAGAGUAAAAAAGAAAGCCUCAGUUUCCAAGAAAGGCAAGGGCUCCAAGAAAUGAAAGUCAAAUAUGUCGCCGCAUCGGACACUCUGUACAAGGUCGGAUACCUUAAACGCUCGUAUGCGAGCCAUUUACAUUGCAUUGCUGUCGGGCAAAAGGCUUUCAUAUGAUCUUUGGCAUCUUUGAUCGCCUAAGUCGUGCUAGUGGUAGGUCAAUAAAGUCAAAACUCCAAAUGUUAGAGUUCCUUUGUGCCUUCUUGGGACCUUGUUAUCAAUUUUAAUCUUCUUCAAACAAACAAAAAAUGAUCAGUUAUGAAGACCCAUUUCACAUUUUGUCAAUCAUUCAGUUGCAUUGUUGUCGGGCGAAAGGCUUUCAUAUGAUUUUUGGCAUCUUUGAUCUCUCAAGUCCUUAAAUUUUAUACUUUUGCUGUCAGUAUUUUUCAAAUUAAGCACAAUUUUGUAGAACAGUAAAUAAAUACUUUACAAAGAAACCAAGAUAUUUACUUAUACCAUUUUCUAUACGCUACAUCGGCUUCUUACAUUCUCCACAUAUUUACAAGAAGGAUUACGCAAUCCACUCCUUUGUCUCUAUGUUAGAUAAAUUUGAAUUAUGUGCUAAUAAGAUUCUUUAUGAAAUGCAGUUCCUAUAACUGCAGUGCAGAUGUCAGAGCUCGGACGGGCUAGAAAAAUGUAAGGAUGAGUAGAAGAAUGAUCGACUUGGGGAAUGCUAGAUUGUUCGAAGAGGAGGGAACCACUGCCAUAACCUCUCCAUAACUGUUUUCACGUAUAGGCUCAGAAUUGACUCCAUCAUCUUGCCUCCCCACUCUGCAUGGGAACAGAAAAAGAUACAGAAAUUACAAGUUAUAGUUAGGCAAAACCCUUUUUCAUUUUUGGGUUCUAUUUCACAGAUGAUGAUAAGAAGAAAAUUACAUUAUAUUCUAUUUCAAUGAAAAUAACUAUGUUUAUA